AUGUACCUUGUAAGAUGUCUGUUUAACAGUACAACAGCUACCCUGGUUUUAGGACAUAGAAUGAGUUGCUGUGUAAGCACCACUCACUUUCCAAAUUUCAAACAUGGUCUUUGGGGUACAUAAAUGGAGAUCUUCGUAACAUU